AAUGAACGCUGGCGGCGUGCCUAAUACAUGCAAGUCGAGCGAACAGACGAGGAGCUUGCUCCUCUGCCGUUAGCGACGGACGGGUGAGUAACACGUGGAUAACCUACCUAUAAGACUGGGAUAACUUCGGGAAACCGGAGCUAAUACCGGAUAAUAUAUUGAACCGCAUGGAUCAAUAGUGAAAGACGGUUUUGCUGUCACUAAUAGAUGGUUCCGCGCCGCAUUAGCUAGUUGGUAAGGUAACGGCUUACCAAGGCAACGAUGCGUAGCCGACCUGAGAGGGUGAUCGGCCACACUGGAACUGAGACACGGUCCAGACUCCUACGGGAGGCAGCAGUAGGGAAUCUUCCGCAAUGGGCGAAAGCCUGACGGAGCAACGCCGCGUGAGUGAAGAAGGUCUUCGGAUCGUAAAGCUCUGUUAUUAGGGAAGAACAAAUGUGUAAGUAACUAUGCACGUCUUGACGGUACCUAAUCAGAAAGCCACGGCUAACUACGUG
rnacentral:rRNA from 1 species